GACGAACGCUGGCGGCGUGCUUAACACAUGCAAGUCGAACGGAAAGGCCCUGCCUUUGUGGGGUGCUCGAGUGGCGAACGGGUGAGUUACACGUGUCUACCCUGCCCCUGCCUGAGGGAUAAAUUCAUGCAACUGGGGCUAAUACCGGAUAGGAUCUCCUGCUGCAUGGUGGGGGCUGGUAAGUUUCGGUGGUUGGGGAUGGACUGGCGGCUCAUCAGCGUGUUGGUGGGGUGGUGGGUUACCAUGGCUUUGAAGGGUAGCAGGGCUGAGAGGGUGACCGGCCAAGUUGGGACGGGGAUGCGACCCAGACUCCAACGGGAGGCAGCGGUGGGGUAUGUAGCACAAUGGGCGGAAGCCAGAUGCAGCAACGCCGCGUGCGGGAUGACGGCCAUCGGUUUGUAUAGCGAUGUCGCCUGUGAUGAAGAGUGAGUGGCGGUAAUGGGUAAAGAAGCACCGGCUAACUACGUG
rnacentral:rRNA from 1 species